rnacentral:rRNA from 1 species
UGGGGAAUAUUGCACAAUGGGCGCAAGCCUGAUGCAGCCAUGCCGCGUGUAUGAAGAAGGCCUUCGGGUUGUAAAGUACUUUCAGCGGGGAGGAAGGGAGUAAAGUUAAUACCUUUGCUCAUUGACGUUACCCGCAGAAGAAGCACCGGCUAACUCCGUGCCAGCAGCCGCGGUAAUACGGAGGGUGCAAGCGUUAAUCGGAAUUACUGGGCGUAAAGCGCACGCAGGCGGUUUGUUAAGUCAGAUGUGAAAUCCCCGGGCUCAACCUGGGAACUGCAUCUGAUACUGGCAAGCUUGAGUCUCGUAGAGGGGGGUAGAAUUCCAGGUGUAGCGGUGAAAUGCGUAGAGAUCUGGAGGAAUACCGGUGGCGAAGGCGGCCCCCUGGAGGAAGACUGACGCUCAGGUGCGAAAGCGUGGGGAGCAAACAGG